CCCCAGGACCAGACUGUUCUUAGUAGUUUCCUGGGUGCUCUCAGUGCUGCUCUCAAUGAAUUUUUAGUCUGGGAUGUUGUCAUCACUCCCUCUACUGGAGAAGGAGUUGUGAGAAUCAUGGGAAAAAAGAUGUCUCUUUAGAGCAUAUAAACCCUUUUCCAGUCUUCAGCUUUACAGAUGGGAAUCCUGAAGCCCAUAGAAAAUGAGAAAGCUACACAGUAGCAGAAUUUGGUGCCAGUCAAGAAGGGCGGCUGAUUUGGGCAAAAGGUAAA